GGGAGCAGCCGCUCUCCAGCGGGCUCCGUCGGUCUCCAACCUGGCAGAACACCUCCCGUCGCUGGACGCCGUCGCCACACGAUGCUGAACACUGGAAAACAGGACAGAAAUGUGAAGAAAUUCAAGUUGAAGCCUGGAAAAUGCAUUUUGCGAAAGCGUGUCUAAGCUCCAGCAGCGAUGUUUUUAAUGAAAGUGUGGGUUUUCGGCUGUAACACAGAACACAUUUCUACAGGAAACACAAAGAAUGGGAGAGGGAUGAAGAAUCCGUUUUUUCUGCCAGGUCUGUUUAGAUGUUAACCCAGAUGACUAAAACAAUCCCAUGAUAUAACCAAAGCAUACAAUUGAAUGUUUUAACUUAAAACUUUGCAGUCAUGCAUUUGGAUAUUAACAACUAUCUUGUGUCUUUCCUCUUUUGAAACAGAUUGAUGAUUCUGAACAACCUGCACUGCACUGAUGUUAAUUCAUUACUACCGUAGAUACAUAAUAAUAGAUCAUAUAUGUAUUGUUUUUCAAAGUACAUAACAAGAGUACGACUGAUACAAUGUUUGAGUCUCUGUUUGUGUAUAUGAGAGGGACCGACAUCACAACUGCUCAUACUUUUGCAGGUUAAGGGAGGAGGAAGUGGUAAACCAAAUCUCCAGAUGGAGCUUCAGCAGCAUUAUAUAGUCUGUUACACAGUUUACAUGCAGCUUUAAAUAUUCCACUGUUUAUCAUGUGCCAAUGAACCACCAUUGAACUACUAGGCAGCCUGCUACAGAAUGGGUAAUCACACUAUACCCGACUAAGAGCCUUGUGUGUGAGUAUCAUUUUCUCCUGGCAUGUGUCCUGCUCCACAGCUGUUUAGAGCAGACGCACAUCCUCUCUGACGUGUGGGGCGCAGAUGUGGCUCUUGUGCUUGGACUCUUAGCCAGUGGGGUGAAUUCAGAGAAAGAGAACACAAGAAAAGAGAGAGAGAAGACAUAGAGAGUAAAGGGAGGCAAAGAAAACAGGAACAAGCCCCGGACAGGCUCUCCAGAAGUCCAGGUGUACGUUGUGAGUGUUUCUGGCGUGAUGACGUGGGUGAAUUGCCUUUUUAGUAGGGCAUUCAAAGAAAAGACUGACAUGUGGUUCCCAUUGGGGAAGCUGAAGACAGAGAGGGGAAAAGUGGAAGAGGGCUUGAAAGAAAAGAAGUGGUGGAAAAGUGGAGAAAGAGCAACAGUGAGAAGGAGGAUAAAAGGGACAGAGAGGACAGAAAAGUGAGGGACGGAGGAAGAGAAAAUAUAGAAAUGAGAGGGGUAGAUUUACAUUGGCUGGACUUAACAUCAGUUAAGAUGAAAGAGAGGGGUGCUCAUACCUCCUGCUGUCAUACUGACUGUACUGUGUAGUCACAGCUCCUGCAUACACUACCUCAAAAACCCCUGUAAGCAGCCACCGUAGGCCUGUGCUGCAAACCAGCCAACCGCCAUGUGAUGUGUAAAAGCACCCUGCCUUAGUUAGUGGCCUGGCAUGGUGAAUACAUAAUUAAAUAAGGUUUAGCUGCAGAUGUUUUCACACAUAUGCGCAUGGUUGCCAGCAGGCUGGUAAGCAUUAAAGUGGAAAGAGAGAAAAAAAACAUGUCUAGCAUCGUGAGAACAAGAGUGGUAGGAGUGUUUUACAGCAGGGUUAAAGACUCCUACCUCUCCCCAGUUGCCAGUCUUCCACUUGGGACAUCGUCCACCUCGGCAGCGCCUCUGCUUGCUGGGUUUGGGGGACAGAGACUGGCAGUUGUCUUCCGAGGCAGGGCGACCAGAGCCGGUCACGCAGCUCACUUUACGGGACUUGAAUCCUCUUCCACAGGCGGCAGAGCACUGCAAGAAGGAGUUCAGUUGAAAUCAAAAGGUAUGUUCUGUGUUAAAACUGUACACACUCCAAACCAAUGAAAGUCAGGGAGGGUUUUGUUUUUUGGUCGGCAUGAUUCAGGUCAAACAAAAUGAUUGGGUUUCACAAAGCACUUCAUUUGUUGAAUGUCAGGCUUAAUUGAAUCUGCAUGAUAAAAUAUUAUAAUCAUUAUAAUUAAAAUCAAGGUAAGUAUUUAUUAAACAGGUAAAUUUAAUUUGUGGAUCUUUUUGACUCACCCCCCCCCAAAAAAAAAAAAGAAAAAGAAAAACGUGAUAUGAGAGAGACACAGUUCCACGUGGGUUGCUAGUCCAAUGGCAAAGCGUGUCCGAUCACCCCGGUAGCAGUUUGUUUUCACCUCCGGGUUCACCGAGUUACUCUAACUCAGUGUGACAGGCAGACACACACACACACACACACACCAAGGAGGGAGUGGAGAAGGGCUGGACUGUGCUCGGAUAAUCAAAGGGGCGUUGCAUGUGGGGAUGGAUGGGAAGCGACAGGCUCAGAGUUGAAUGGGUACGCGGCCCAGUGUGUGGUGCUGUCCUGACCAGCAAGGGACUGUACUAGACAGGAACAUGCUGUGACCUCUCACCUCAUUUAGGGUGUGGGGAGGACGGGUAUGAUUAAAGGAGGGGCUAACAAAAUGCCUGUUCCCCUUUUUAAAUCCGGGCACAUCUAUAUUUGAUCUGUAAUGCGCUAGAUUUAUUGGAGUUAACUCAUGCUGUUUUUUUGCCAAGAAAUAAAGAAACAUUAUGUGAUUCUUGUGUGGAUAUUGUCAUUAAAUUUCAAUAAAAAUGA